UUUUGAGAAUAACCCAUAUGGGCAUUGUCUUUAUCUCUGGCUGGGCGUCCUCCGCUACCGGAGUCCAUUUCGAAACAAUCAUAGGUUGGUCGCAAAUGUUCCACAUGCCCCUACGUAGCACAUGAUUCCUUGCAGCCGCAUUACAUAUUCUGAACUUUACCAUCUUUUCAUUGAUGCUAUACACAUCGAUCUUGAUGGAUCGAUCACCAAGGGUCCAAAUUUUGUUCCCAAUGACGUGAAUCCGACCAAUAUGUGGGGCGGCAUUGGGAAACCUACCCACCAAGAAAUCCUCCCAAAGAGGCAUUGAAUCUUGUAACACUUCAUCAGGAACAAUCACCAUGGCUUUACCAUCAACCACACUUACAUCAACGUUAAAUUUAGAGAGAGUCGGUUUCCCGACGACAGUAGCAUAUGACUUUCGGACUGGAAGAG
rnacentral:lncRNA from 1 species